rnacentral:lncRNA from 1 species
CGUAACAGCUGCAGAACUGCCGUCAAAGUAAUGGUCUCAGCAUAUGCUGGUAGAUCCAAGGCCACAUAAAUACAGACAGAUGAGUGGCUACAAUGAUCAUGUGUGCAACCACGGACUUGUAUAAAGGUUAUAUAGGUCCGUGGUGCAACAUGAUGACAAACUACUGCUCAAAGUCAUCUCAUAAUAUGGCCCUGAGAUAUCUUCACCCAAAGGCUGUUGUCCAGGCAGCUGCUGAGGACCAUCACUACCUUAAACAUGGUUGACACGGCACUGAAGGUAACUGAGGAAUCUGCAAAAGAUAUAGAGGCAGCAACGCAAGACCAGGGCCGGAGCCCAGUGUGGCACACAGAAAGAAAGUGGCGCCUCACAGCCUCAAGGUUUGGUGAAGUGACCAAAAGGACCAACCGAAGAAAUAAGGAGAAGUUAUGCAAAUCAAUUGUGUCCACAAAAAUAUUAUCAUGUAAGCCUGUAAUUCAUUGAAAGCAGUAUGAGAAAAGAGCACUUUCAAAAUUUGAGUCCAUGUACAAUAUCAAAACAAAAAAGGCAGGUCUAUUUGUUUCCUGUUCUGAACCCUAUCUGGGUGCUACGCCAGAUGCCAUUAUUGAUGCUGAUAACUUGGUUGAGGUGAAAUGUCCAUAUGCUGGAAGGAAUGAUCACAUUAAACCUGGUAAACAUUUUCCAUAUCUUCACUACAAUGUAAACAAUCAGAUCUGUUUAAAUCCCAGCAGUCACUACUACUGUCAGGUACAGGGACAGAUGUACUUAGCAAAGCCUCAAUUUUGUUAUUUUGUUGUUUACACAUUCUGUGACAUGUUUGUAGAAAAGAUCAGUGUUGAUUAAGAUUUCUGUCAGUACUCGUUAAUUCCAAAACUUGAACUGUUCUAUGCCAAAAAUCUAAGACCAUACAUUGCUCCCACAUUGUAAAUCAUGUUUUUUUUCCCCUGGAAACAUCAUUAAGGCAUUGAUGAGCUUGUGUCCGAGCUUGUGUAUGUACUAAUGGUAAUAACCUUACAUGCAUGUUUGAUUCCCAUUGGGAGUUUGUGUAUUAAGCACAUUCGGGUUGUCUUAUUCUUGAAAUUAUCUCAAAAUCUAAAAUGUCAUACAGUAAUAGCAAGAUCUAAUAGAAAUAUUCCUUUGACUUUUUGUUGAUGAUGUUCUUUUCUCUUAUUCGGUUAUUGGUCUCCAGCGUCAAAUCAACAUUUUGCAAACUUAUUGUGACAAAUGGUGACUGUUCGUCAGUCUUUAUAACUAAAGUAUCAUUUUAUGCUUUGGUGUAAAUUCUGUAUCACUUAAGAAAAAGAUCCAAAUAAGUUCACAUCUUUUUCAAAUAUCAAUUUGUUUCAUAUGCUCAUGUCAACAUCAAAUGUUAUAUUAAUACAAAUUAGUAUAUAUUGCAUACAUCAUGCAUAUUCUGUGCCUUUAUCUAUAUUUGCAAUGAAUAAGCAAUUUGACUUGUGAAUCAUGCACAUGUCCUAUAUGAUUUAGCUACCGUUAAGACAGUUUAGUGUGAAGUUGAAGAUUCAUGAAGAUUCCCUUUGAAGAAUAUACACAGUACUCAAAUAAUGUUAUACACAUAUAUUUAUUCAGACACUCAAGAGAGAGAUUUUGGAUUUCCUCCAGAUUUCACCGAACAGGUUUACAACCUGUUACCACGAUGUACAUACACAUUGUAAGAGCAUCAGUGGAGCGGUACAUUGAGCUCAGGUGUAAAUACGGUACACAGAGUUAGAAAUAAUAAUCUGCUGUGAUUUGAGACUAUUACAAGUCAUUGGCAGGGUUAAAAUAUUGUGGUUUUGGUUUGCCAAUCAAUUGUUUGACUAAAUAUGGUAAUACCACCAAACAAAAAUGACAGCAUGUCACCUUCAUCUUGCAUUUCAAAGCUUACCAUAUGCAUAAAUAACAAAUGAAAAGAAGCAAUUUCUUUGACACAAGAGAGAUUCACAUUUUAAUAUGACAUGCUUGUGUCACAAGUUACACUCCAUACACUGUUUGGGUCGUGAGGAGAUUUUUCACACUCCGUUGAAAGCCAGAAGCCAGUACAAAUGUAAGGUUAGCCUUGUAUGAAAAUGUUUUCAGUGGGAUAAGCCUCAAAUAACUGAAAUAUUGUGAGCCCAUUGCUGUUCUUUGUAGUUAAAGACUGUCUCAUUGACUAAAAAUGACAUAUGUUUGAUUGAAAUUCAACUUUUGAAAAAUGUUGGUGCAAAUAAUGAAGUUAUAUUCAGACAAUGUGGGACUAUAUAUACCACAGAAGUGAUUGUCAAUAGUAUUGCUUAUGUACACUCAUUGUUACAGUUUCACAUUCUCACUUCUUGAUUGCUACAACACUAACAUUGAUUAUACAAUGAUUCAAUACAACUCAUUUUUGUUUUCUUAAUCAGUCCUUUUGACACAUGUUAUUUCAAUUAUUAAUUUAUCAAUAAAACACAUCAAAUUAGGUAUUGUUAGACUUUACCUUACAAAUUGAAUUUUCAACACCACCGGUCACAUUUUAACGCCUUAAUGAAUUCAGUUCAGCUCCAAAAAUGUGAAAAUGUAGAUAACUCUAAUACUUUAUAUACAUAUUGUCAUUUAGAUUUUGUCGAAGAUGAGUAUCAUAUUAUGUUUAUAUGCCCUAGGUACUCUGUGAUUAGAAUAAGGUAUUUACCUUUUCAUAGCUUUAACAACACUCAUUCAAUGGUCAAUUAGCUAAAUACAAGAAAUGCACAUCUCAAUAAAUCUGUUGCUCUGCAUGUGAAACAUGUUUUCAAAUUACGAGCCCUCACAUGA